GACGAACGCUGGCGGCGUGCCUAAUACAUGCAAGUAGGACGCAGUUGCGAACGGGUGAGUAACGCGUAUGUAACUGCCUAUUAGAGGGGGAUAACUAUUGGAAACGAUAGCUAAUACCGCAUACUCGUAGCUGGACCUGAUUUGUAUUAGCUAGUAGGUAGGGUAAUGGCCUACCUAGGCGACGAUACAUAGCCGACCUGAGAGGGUGAUCGGCGAGACUGGGACUGAGACACGGCCCAGACUCCUACGGGAGGCAGCAGUGGGGAAUAUUGCACAAUGGGCGCAAGACUGAUGCAGCCAUGCCGCGUGUAUGAAGAAGGCCUUCGGGUUGGAAAGUACUUUCAGCGGGGAGCGUUACCCGCAGAAGAAGCACCGGCUAACUCCGUGCCAGCAGCCGCGGUAAUAC
rnacentral:rRNA from 1 species